UAGGGAAUCUUCCGCAAUGGGCGAAAGCCUGACGGAGCAACGCCGCGUGAGUGAUGAAGGUCUUCGGAUCGUAAAACUCUGUUAUCAGGGAAGAACAAACGUGUAAGUAACUGUGCACGUCUUGACGGUACCUGAUCAGAAAGCCACGGCUAACUACGUGCCAGCAGCCGCGGUAAUACGUAGGUGGCAAGCGUUAUCCGGAAUUAUUGGGCGUAAAGCGCGCGUAGGCGGUUUUUUAAGUCUGAUGUGAAAGCCCACGGCUCAACCGUGGAGGGUCAUUGGAAACUGGAAAACUUGAGUGCAGAAGAGGAAAGUGGAAUUCCAUGUGUAGCGGUGAAAUGCGCAGAGAUAUGGAGGAACACCAGUGGCGAAGGCGACUUUCUGGUCUGUAACUGACGCUGAUGUGCGAAAGCGUGGGGAUCAAACA
rnacentral:rRNA from 1 species